GUGAGUCUUCCUCCCCCAAAAUAUUGGAAAGGUAUAUAAGGAAUGAGUCUUGAUCUUUCAACAUCACAGAAGUUCAAGAAAAUCACACAGAGGUCCAUUGAAAAGAAUUCCUCCUGAUAAUGAGGCUGCUGGCCACGUGAGCUAAGAGGUUCCUGGUGCUGAUACUACAGAGAUGUCCAGGCAGAGCAGACACAUGACUGAGGGUCAGAGGGGGAGGUACAGCCCUCUCCUUACAGAUCGUCACCUGAACAAAGACACUCAGCCUUCUGCAGACAGCAAGGCCAUCCUUUCAGGCCCCAUUACAGAGCUCACUGGGCCCUCAGAUUGGCUUGCAUCUCAGAGGAAGGAUGUGGCCCCAGUUCCAAACUGAUUCUCAUUCCAUCACCUCCUGUGUUUCUCCAUAGAGCCAGUGGCUCAGCCCUUUGUCCAGGCCAACAACACUAUAGUCACAGAACAUAAGGACUCUGUGGUCCUGACCUGCUCCACACAUAAUCCUGGGGUCUCCAUCCACUGGUUCUCAAUGGUCAGAGUCUGAACCUCAUGGAGAAGAUGAAGCUGUCGCAGGAAAACAGCACCCUCACCAUAGACCCUGUCAGGAGGGAGGAUGCAGGGAAUUACCAGUGUGAGGACUCCAACCUGGUCAAUUACUGCAAAAGUGACCCCAUCAGGCUGUAUGUGACCUCUCUGAGGACUUCACUGAUUUACUGAAGCCCUUUACACACUCAGAUGCUCAUUCUGCACAGAGGAGAUGACACCCGGCCCUCUCAUGGGCAGGGAAGCAGCAGAUAAGAGAUGGAAGAAUCACCACAGGUCUCCCUAUGGGGUCCAUCAUUGGCAUUGCAGUCGGGGUCCUGGUAGGACUGGCACUGACAGUUGCCCUGGGGUAUUUCCUGCUCCACACAAGGACUGGAGGACUCCCUGCCCAGCCCCACCACAGCCGUUCCUAUCUAUCAGGAAUUACAACAGCCCGACGCAAACAUUUACUGCCAGAUUAACCACAAAGCAGAAAUGGCUUCUUAGUUUCCCAAGUGCCUGGGGCUCCCUGAGACCCAGGACUCUAACGGGGUCAGGAGCUGAAGUCGGAACCAUAGAACCAGCUCUAGGCCCUGAGGAUAUUCAGGGACAUGGACCAAGGGUCGGGGUCAUCACCAUCCUUCUCUACAAACUGCUGGUGGGCAGCCUGGACUUGGUCAUCUGACUGUGGAGUCACUUCCUGAGGUGAUGUCCACAGCACCCUCCCUGCCCUGAGCGAU